GACGAACCGUGCAAACGUUGUUCGGAAUCACUGGGCUUAAAGGGCGCGUAGGCGGGUGAGCAAGUCCGUGGUGAAAUCCUCCGGCUCAACCGGAGAGCUGCCUCGGAUACUGGGCGUCUCGAGUGUGGUAGGGGUAUGCGGAACUAUCGGUGGAGCGGUGAAAUGCGUUGAUAUCGAUAGGAACUCCGGUGGCGAAGGCGGCAUACUGGACCACCACUGACGCUGAUGCGCGAAAGCCAGGGGAGCAAACGGG
rnacentral:rRNA from 1 species